rfam:Zea mays cultivar B73 chromosome 6, whole genome shotgun sequence.
GAGCCGUAUGCGGUGAGAGUCGCACGUACAGUAAGGAGGGGGAAAUGAGCUACGACGGCCCAGUCCACCCAGAU